GGAUACCCGCUGAACUUAA
rnacentral:rRNA from 3 species